rnacentral:tRNA from 1 species
GAGGGCAUAGCUCACUGGUAGAGUAUGUGCUUAGCAUGCAUGAGAUCUUGGGUUCCAUCCCCAGUGCCUCCA